AUUGAACGCUGGCGGCAUGCUUUACACAUGCAAGUCGAACGGUAACAGGGAGCUUGCUCCGCUGACGAGUGGCGAACGGGUGAGUAAUGCAUCGGAACGUACCCAGUCGUGGGGGAUAACGUAGCGAAAGUUACGCUAAUACCGCAUACGUCCUGAGGGAGAAAGCGGGGGACCGAAAGGCCUCGCGCGAUUGGAGCGGCCGAUGUCGGAUUAGCUAGUUGGUAGGGUAAAGGCCUACCAAGGCGACGAUCCGUAGCGGGUCUGAGAGGAUGAUCCGCCACACUGGGACUGAGACACGGCCCAGACUCCUACGGGAGGCAGCAGUGGGGGAAUUUUGGACAAUGGGCGCAAGCCUGAUCCAGCCAUGCCGCGUGAGUGAAGAAGGCCUUCGGGUUGUAAAGCUCUUUCAGGUGGAAAGAAAACGACAUGGGUCAAUACCCUGUGUGGAUGACGGUACCAUCAGAAGAAGCACCGGCUAACUACGUGCCAGCAGCCGCGGUAAAAC
rnacentral:rRNA from 1 species